CUGCGCUGCCGGCCGGGCUCUGCGGGCUCGGGCCUGCUCGGGGCCGGGAUGUACCGCUGCAGGGCGGCUCCCGGGCCCUCUCCCGUGGCACGGUAACGGGACCCGGCCUUCUUUUUCCUGGCUCUGGUCACAGCUUCCUCUCGGGCAUCCAGCUGCUCCGGCGGGGCUCCUCCGCGGGCUGCAGGUAAGAGAGGCGCUGCCACAAUUUCUGAUGGGCUCGGCCUUGGGCAGCGUCGGCUCGGUCCUGCAGCCGGCCGGGAUCGGCUCCGUGGGACAAGGAGGACGCCUCUGGCAAUUUCCCACAGCAGCCCCCCUGCUACCAAAACCUGGCCAUGCAAACCCAAUCCGUCUCUCUUACAAAAGUAAUUCAAAUGAAAUUAUAAAAUAAAUACAGACACUGCCUCUGAAGUUCCAUUACUAACAGAAGAUCGAUUAAUAAUGCAAUUACUCUAAUACUGUGAGUGUUUUGUAUCCCUUGCAUUUCAGGUGACUUAAAAAUAGGGCAUUACAACACUGAUCGUGCUACAUAAACAUUUAUCAAAGAAAUGCCAGAAUAAAGGAGCUGCCUAUUUCUAUGCAAGCUUUAGUCAACAUAAAUUAGGAAAGUAUCAUAACAGAUUUUUUCUUAUGCUAUGAAAAAUACUUCUGUCAUUGUCAUCGCUGUAUUGUGUAACCCUUAAGAAAUCUAUUUUGACUUUUUUCUGUUUCCAUAUACCUAUUUCAGCUACAUUAUAUAGAUUGGUGUUUUCAAAAUAGAUUAAUAUGCAAGUAUUAAUACCUUAAUUAGAGACUGGGUUGUUUGGCUAUCUGAAUCAGAGAAAAUUACACAGAAGUUAACAAGACUAGGUACAAAAAAGAUACUUGAAAAUUCUGAAAAUUUAAGAGUAGCAGCUAAAAGCAUGGAAGUAAAUGCAGGCCUGGCAGUUCCAUUGACACUUGCCCAGUGUGAGUUCCAAGUUUGACUUAGCUGAUAUCAAACAUCUAAGGAGAAUAAAUUAAAUAGUGCAGCCUUUUGGCAAAUCACAUACAAAAGCAAAUUGGAAAGAAGAUCCAAAUAAUAUAGCCUACUCUUGUCUUGUGCACUUAUGUGUAUCCUAAGCAGCGUGUCUCUGAAAUGUAAAGCUCAGUCUUGGGAGGGAGGGUGCAAUCCUAAAGGAGGCACAGUGCAGUCUGCUCAAGCUCAGUGCCUUAGGAAUUUUGCAGGAAGACUGGUGCCUCUAGAGACCUGCAGAGGGAGAUGUGUUCCUCCAAAAUGAGGGGUUUGUAACUGUCUCCUUACUGUGUAAGAAAUUUCACAGAAAGUUGUCUAGGGUUAUAAAAUUAUGCACACAAAAUUCCUAGAAAGAAUGAACUUUUCUUUUUAGUUCUCAGUGGUAUACAGAGAUAUGAACUAAAAUUAAAUGCUCUUCGUACUCAUUCUAUCUCUAAUCCCUAAAAGACUCCAGUGUAUUUUGCUCAUCUGAGCCAGGGGCAAGCAGAAUGUAUUUCCUUUAACCCUUCACCUGUUCUUUGCUAAAAUGCUGAUACUUCAAUUCUUUUCAUUAAAAAACAC